UUGGCACCUAGGCUCUGCCUUUGCCUGCUGUUUGAGAGGCAGGAACUCGAGGCAGGUCUGGAUUGUUUACAUCCACCCAGGGCUCUAAAAUAAAGUGGGAGCUGGGCAUCUCAAACAGGGUCGAAGAAGUUGGCAGAUUUAAGAAAAGGAGGCACUGGUCCAUUCCCCAGAUAAUGCAGACAUGAGUUCAGAUGCCCAGCCACCCCAGUUCUCAUGCAAACAGGAAACCCCCACCCCCACCCCCACCCCCACUCCCACCCCGGGCAAAGUGUCUGGAAAACAGAAGCAAACACUGACAUCCUGGGAGCUGGUGAGGAAAGGAGCGAGAGGACAUAGAGAACUGGCCGAAGAAAAGAGACAGGGAGAAGUGGGGCCAGCUGACUACCGCACAGCCUUCCUCCCAAGGCUCCUUCUGGCGUGCCUGGAGCAAUUUCAAAUGCCUUUACUUUCUCAGAAACUGACUUCCUCCUAGGACCCACACAAGUGGCCCUCCCCUUGGGGUUUCUGCAGUGUGUUCAGGUCUCACCCCACCCCCAUUUCAGCUGGCUUAACCACCAGACCUGUCAAGGUCUUGGCCUUGGGGAGCCUCCCACCCUUGCAAGGAGGCUUCAGUAAUGACACCAAGUGGAGGAUGGGAAGGGGGCAGAAGGGAUGGGCCUCGGCUCUCUCUCACUUCACUUUUUCUGUAGCGUUAUUGACCCGUCAUUAGUUAUCCGUCCAAGGUCGCCAGGUCUGGCCCAGCCAUAAAUCACCGCCGCUGGGGGGGGGGGGGGGGCGGGGGCGGGGGGGGGGGAGAAGUUGGGGGACUAGAGGAGCGAAGGAGUCAGUGCUGAACGCGGCCCGGAAGGGUAGCAGCAGACGUCCCUCAGGCUCAUAGGGACCCGCCCCAGCCCUUGUGACCGUCCUUCUCGGCUCCCUCCCAACCCCGGGCUGCCCAGCGUGCCUGUCCCUCGGCCACUCUCUCCUGUCUCCGUCCAUCUCUUUCACCGCUGAAGUGUGUUUAGAUGGCUGCGCCAAGAAAAGGGUAACCAGAUUGUCCUCGGUCAUCUCCCUCAUAGCUCUUCCAGGUUAUAGCUUCCAUCAACAAGAACAGAAAUCCUGAAGGGGAAACUGAGGCACGGAGUCCUGACCCGAGAUGAGUCUGAGAAGAAGUCUCACCCGAUUCUCUCCUCGGUCACUUCAGUCCCUCCCUACUCCAGACGGAUGCUGCAAGGGUCUCUCCGCCCUCAGAAGGGAGUGGAUCUGCGUCUGCACCGGGCGGGACCUGCACUCGAGGAGCCGGACCCUUUCCCUAGCGCCCGGGUCCUAGAGGAGCGUGGCUUGGCCCUCCUCUCAAGAGCUCGCCCGGCUUAGCAGCGGACCUCUUCGCCGGUCCUCGCGCACCCUCUGCCGGCGCCUCUCAGGAAACGCGCUCGCUGUCCCCGCCCUGGAUAUUCCCGUCCCGUAGGACAGACGGAGGGCAGCCGGGAGCUCUGCAUGCCCCUGCUUUUGGAACACUCCUUGCACCAAGAUUCCAGAAAAUUCCUUUGUCUAUUCAAAACUGGAGGAGCGAGGACAAGAGAGCUGAACUUGAGGCAGGCCAGGCUCGGAGCAUAUGGGUCAGUCAUCCAUCACCUGCCACCUCCCUAGAGACCUUGGCAGGCCAGGUAGGUCUCUUCUGGUAAGGAGGGCCAGGGGGGUCCUGAGACACCAGAGCCUUGAUUCUCUAAAGCAGUGGAGUAGGGCUUCAAGUCUUUAACCUAUGGGGUGGGAAGCUGGGGUGUUCCCAUAGGGAGGAGGGACAGUCCCAGGGUUCAAGGUUCUCUUUCUGGAACGGCCUUCUGAGAGUCCCCAUUAUACUGCUUGAGAGCACACAGCUCAGGGUUGAUUCCUUCCCAACUUGGUGUUUGACUGGCCAGCAGGGAGGGUGGGCUGACCAAAUUCAGAUUCCCUGAUCAAACUGAACUAAAAGUAUUCCAAACAAUGUCAAGAAGGUCAAAGGGAUGAGACAGGAUCCAUCAGAGGCCCCGAGGAGCUGGGAGUUAGGAGAAGACGUGUCAGUGUCGCAGGGCAGGACUCCGAGGGCCCUGUCUAGGUGGAGCAGGCAUAUAUUGGUUUGUCCGUGUGUGUGCUCCACUCUGGCAGGCCUCAGGAGGUGGCAUUGCCUUUACUCCUUCUUUCAUGAUGGUGUACACAACUGGCCAUUCUCUCUCAGAGCAGGAAACUCACGAAUCAAAGCCCAGGUUUGAGCCAGACUGGUGGGGUAGCCUGUAAGACUCCACCUUCAGGAGGCUGUGUUGAAUUCUCAUUUCACAGGCAGCUGGGGCUACCAUAGUGAAACCCAGUCUCAAAGCCAAACUGAACCCUGGUUUCAGGGCAGUCAGCGUCAACUCUCUCUGCAGAUUUGAGGGACGAGAGGAAAGGAGGGGAGACAAAAGGCUCAGUGAGAUCUGUGCGGAGCGGAACAAGGGAAUCAGCUGGGCGGAAUCACGGAGACCUGAGUGACAUUCAUCUCUGACACAUGUUGCAUGACUUGGGACAAUAAAAAGAACCUCUCUGGGACAUGUGUGUCUGUCUGUGUACAGGCAUGUACGAGCACAGAUGCCUGCAGUGGCAGCGGCUUUGGAUCCCUGGGAACCAGGGUUUUAGGCAGUCGUGUGCUGCCUGGUGUGGGCACUGGGAAUUGAACUCAGGGACCGGGACCUGAUAGAGCAAUACAUGCUCUUGACCCCUGAACCAUCUUUCUAGCCCAGGACUCAGGCUUUCCAUCUGUAAAAUGGAGCUGGGCGGUGGUGGUGCCCUUAAUCCCAGCACUUGGGAGGCAGAGGCAGGCGGAUUUCUGAGUUCAAGGCCAGCCUGGUCUACAAAGUGAGCAGAGGCUACACAGAGAAACCCUGUCUCAAAAAAACAAAAACAAAACAAAAUCUAGCUGGAGACUGCAUAUCCACA
rnacentral:lncRNA from 1 species